CCUACGGGAGGCAGCAGUUGGGAAUCUUGGGCAAUGGGCGCAAGCCUGACCCAGCGACGCCGCGUGGGGGAUGAAGGCCUUCGGGUUGUAAACCCCUGUCAUGAGGGACGAAGCCGCAAGGUGACGGUACCUCAGGAGGAAGCCCCGGCUAACUACGUGCCAGCAGCCGCGGUAAU
rnacentral:rRNA from 1 species